rnacentral:rRNA from 1 species
UACGUAGGGGCCGAGCGUUGUCCGGAGUUACUGGGCGUAAAGCGCGCGCAGGCGGCUCGUCAAGCCUGACGUGAAAGCCCCCGGCUCAACCGGGGAGGGUCGUCGGGGACUGGCGGGCUUGAGGGCGGCAGGGGUUGGUGGAAUUCCCGGUGUAGUGGUGAAAUGCGUAGAGAUCGGGAGGAACACCCGUGGCGAAGGCGGCCAACUGGGCCGGACCUGACGCUGAGGCGCGAAGGCGUGGGGAGCGAACGGG